AUCCUACGGGGCGCAGCAGUCGGGAAUAUUGCGCAAUGGAGGAAACUCUGACGCAGUGACGCCGCGUAUAGGAAGAAGGUUUUCGGAUUGUAAACUAUUGUCCACAGGGAAGAAAAAAGACUGUACCUGUGAAGAAAGCUCCGGCUAACUACGUGCCAGCAGCCGCGGUAAUACGUAGGGAGCAAGCGUUAUCCGGAUUUAUCGGGUUUAAAGGGUGCGCAGGCGGCCUGUUAAGUCAGCGGUAAAAGCCCGGGGCUCAACCCCGGCGAGCCGUUGAAACUGGCGGGCUGGAGUUGGAGAGAAGG
rnacentral:rRNA from 1 species